UGCCUGCAAUCGUUUGAAUAUUUUCGGACGAUCAUCAUCUUCUUCUAGUCCAAUAGUAUUAAAGAGCAGCCAAAGUUUUGACCAACAGUCAACACCUUUUCUAGAGAUUUAUACAAUGCAAGAAACUGAGGAUUUAGAAGAACUUCCAGCAUCUUCCAUACAGAAUGGGAAGAGAGAUGAAACACGUGAAGAGAAGACGGAUCGGAGGAUAUUACUGUCUAUGAACCACAAACACUCUAUUCUCUGCUUAUGGAUAAACAAGCUAAGUUAGUCCAUCUGAACAGAAGAAAAUCGGGAAGAGGGAAAAGUUGUUUGAUUUGCUGAAAGAGGAUGAGCGAUGAGAGGACCAUGAGAAAAUGAGAACAAAAAAGUAGAGAUCAGACUCUGAUUUCUGUUGCUGAUUUGUUGAUCAUGUCAGAUAUUAGCAAUGCAUAACUUGUGAUUGUUUCUUGUUUCUUGUUUCAGAUUCCCGAGUUGGCUAGAACCCAUCCGGCACUAAUGACAUUCAAAAGUGUUCAGCUUUCGCCGGCAACUUGGAUGGCGGUUUCAUGGUUAGCAUAAUUCAUAUUGUGAAACAGAAAGUGACAACAUUGACACAGAGAAAGACAUAUAUUGGUGGUGUGGUUGGGGAAGCACUGAAGGAAACAAAUGCAAGAACAAGAACGGAAGCAGUGGUGGCGGCAGCAUUUCUGUGCCGCCUUUCGGUCUAGCUACCUACAAGAUGCAAGAAGAUCUAUGGCUGAAUCCAGAGCCAUGUGAAUAUGAAAGGAUAUCAUAUCUGUACAGUGCUGCAGAUUCAUGGUUGAAACAGCUCAAUUUUUAUCACCAUGACUUCAACUUCUUCACACAACACCCUACACCAACAACCUUGUAGUAAAUUCGCUUCAUUAACUAAAUUAACUACCCUUUUGGUUAGCUUUCAACUUCUUACUCCGGCAUAAUAACAAAAUAUUUCAGUUCCCUUGGGUCCAAAUUCUGAGAAAUGUAAAGUUUUGUAGUUAACCAGAGAGAUAGAAAGAAGGGGGUAGUUUUUUUUUU